UCCCCUGUCCCGGUCUUCUCCCUGAACUACGGGGCGACCAUCGAGGUCGCCCCGCCUUUUUCGGUUCG
rnacentral:sRNA from 1 species